GAUGAACGCUAGCUACAGGCUUAACACAUGCAAGUCGAGGGGUAACGAGAGGAAAGCUUGCUUUCCUUGUCGACGACCGGCGCACGGGUGAGUAACGCGUAUCCAACCUGCCCCCAACUAGGGAAUAACCUUGCGAAAGUAAGACUAAUACCCUAUAAUUUCCUCAGAUGUCAUCUGACGAGGAAUAAAGAUUUAUCGGUUGUGGAUGGGGAUGCGUCUGAUUAGCUUGUUGGCGGGGUAACGGCCCACCAAAGCAACGAUCAGUAGGGGUUCUGAGAGGAAGAUCCCCCACAUUGGAACUGAGACACGGACCAAACUCCUACGGGAGGCAGCAGUGAGGAAUAUUGGUCAAUGGGCGGAAGCCUGAACCAGCCAAGUAGCGUGCAGGAUGACGGCCCUAUGGGUUGUAAACUGCUUUUAUACAGGAAUAAAGUUAGCCACGUGUGGUUAUUUGUAGGUACUGUAUGAAUAAGGACCGGCUAAUUCCGUGCCAGCAGCCGCCGCGG
rnacentral:rRNA from 1 species